rnacentral:tRNA from 1 species
CGGGGUGUAGCUCAGCCUGGUAGAGCACUGUCUUCGGGAGGCAGGGGCCGUGAGUUCAAAUCUCGCCACCCCGACCA